rnacentral:misc_RNA from 1 species
GCCAUCCAACAGCUAUAGAUGACUCAGGACCUAAUGAAAGAUGUAUAUUUCCAUGAGCAGUAUCAGAUAGCUGGCGAGUCCAAGUGUUGGAGAGAUUAACAGAACCAUCUCUUAAAGACAUAGCAAGACCCAUUGUUGCCGUAGAGUGAACAGAUAUAUGACGAGUUGUUUGUACUCCUACUAAUGCUCUCAAACCCAUAGACCCCAUAAACUCUAUUGACGAAACUGAUGACAUUUGAUGCCUAAAAACAACAGAUGCAGCACCACCGCCGGCAUUACCAUUAACUGCCAGAUUUCCACCAAUGGCAACAGCAUUGUUU